UAACCCCCGAAGAAAAACCGGGUGGGGUGAGACAGCCCCAGAAGAGCCUGCCCUCGGGCCCCUCGGCCUGCACCGCUGUGCAGUGGGCCGUGCUGCCUGUUGGGCCGCGUCCUCCCCGCCUCCCCGAGGGGGCUCCUUGUCGCACCACACCAACUGGCUCUAUCCUGGAAGAUGGCUAGCACCGCGGUGGGGGACAGCUGUUCGGCUCAGGACUCUGCCAGUACCAGAGCCAAAAUGGAUUUGAGAGUCCAGUGAAGGAAGAGUAAAGGAAAUGACAAAGCACCCUUUGGAGGAUGAUGACAGAAAUCUACGUAUGAAAAUAAUCACACCUUGGGGAUCUUGGAGGAUCUGCAAGCAGUACCCAUUACUCACCAGUUGUAAGAUCUCCCAGCAUUAAUCCAUCUUGGCGGAGGGAAGGACAUUACCAAAUGACUACACUGCUUGCUGGCCUCUUCCAGACUCCUGGCUGGAAAAGCAAACUAGUGAAUAUUCACUCUGAAAGAUGAAAUUCUUUCUACUCAUGGAAGUCCUUCAAGCAAGUAAAGUAUUUGAAAUUUUAUUUUAUUUUUUUGUCGAUCAAGUUCUAGCAAAUUCUGGAGCAUCUAAUUCCUGCCUUAGAAGCAGUUUCCUUAAGGUUUAAUCAAGUCAGGGCAUGACAUCAUUUGCUGUAUGAGAUUUGAAGGUGGCUAGAGAAUGGAUAAAGGAGAAAGAAUUACUGCUCAAGUCUAAACAAUUUGGCUGGGGUAUGAAAUCUUUGAUGUGUUUCAAAAGCACCAUUCAAAGCAAGUUAAAUACAAAUUUGACUUUCAAGUGUGAUACUUUAGGUAAUAAAUGGC
rnacentral:lncRNA from 1 species